rnacentral:lncRNA from 1 species
GAUGGCUCUGUGCCGAAAGCAUGGGAACAGCCCAGCGAUAGGUAAAAUGGAGCCAUGAUCUCAGAAGACAGGGGAAGCUGUAAAAGGCCCUGUACUUGCUUUCUGCAGUUAAACACAGUGGGAACAUUACUUUUGAUGAGAUUGUCAACAUUGCCCGGCAGAUGAGACACCGGUCUUUGGCUAGAGAACUUUCUGGUAAGAGCACGCUAUUUUCCCUGAGUGGUGGCUGCCACUUUGCUGUUGAAGGUUCAAGAUUUGGAUUUUCCCAUGGAUCCAUAUUUUUUCCCUGUGUUCCUGCAAUGGAACCCUGGAAUUCUUUCCCCUGUGACUGAGGCCACCAUUCUUACUGUAGGAACUAUCAAGGAGAUCCUGGGUACUGCACAGUCUGUGGGCUGCAAUGUGGAUGGCCGCCACCCUCAUGACAUCAUAGAUGACAUCAACAGUGGUGCAGUGGAGUGCCCAGCUAGUUAAGAAGCAACAAGAAAAUAUUCCAAUAAAAGACUAUCUGAU